UUUCCGUAUGUGAACCUGCGGAAGGAUCAUUAUCAAAACAGCGGACUUCGGUCCUUGCUGCACCCUUGUCUUUUGCGUACCGUAUGUUUCCUCGGCGGGCUUGCCUGCCGGUUGGACAUUAUCAAACCUUUUUGUAGUUGCAAUCAGCGUCAGAAACAAAACAAUAAUUACAACUUUCAACAACGGAUCUCUUGGUUCUGGCAUCGAUGAAGAACGCCAGC
rnacentral:misc_RNA from 1 species